rnacentral:rRNA from 1 species
GACGAACGCUGGCGGCGUGCUUAACACAUGCAAGUCGAGCGGUAAGGCCCUUUCGGGGGUACGACGAGCGGCGAACGGGUGAGUAACACGUGGGUGACCUGCCCUCAGCUCUGGGAUAAGCCUGGGAAACUGGGUCUAAUACUGGAUAUGACUCCACGGUGCAUGUCGUGGGGUGGAAAGCCUUGUGCGGCUGAGGAUGGGCCCGCGGCCUAUCAGCUUGUUGGUGGGGUGAUGGCCUACCAAGGCGACGACGGGUAGCCGGCCUGAGAGGGCGACCGGCCACACUGGGACUGAGACACGGCCCAGACUCCUACGGGAGGCAGCAGUGGGGAAUCUUGCGCAAUGGGCGAAAGCCUGACGCAGCGACGCCG